UCGAACCCUUCUCAUGCCUUAAGAAUUUUAUUUACUAAAUUCUUAUUUUAAUAAUUUCUAAAAAUUUGGGUUCUUACAUCCUCUCCCCCUUAGAAGGAUUCAGUCCUCGGAAUCAUCGAAACCUCCUCUACUUGGUGCUAUUCCGAAUAAUACAUAUUCUUUUUGAAUAAUUUUAUCCAUUCUCUUUUCGGAAGUUUUAUUAUAACUUGCUCACUUGCAUUCUAC
rnacentral:lncRNA from 1 species